rnacentral:rRNA from 1 species
AACGAACGCUGGCGGCAGGCCUAAUACAUGCAAGUCGAACGCACCGCAAGGUGAGUGGCAGACGGGUGAGUAACGCGUGGGAACCUUCCUAGUAGUACGGAAUAACUCCGGGAAACCGGUGCUAAUACCGUAUAAGCCCUCCGGGGGAAAGAUUUAUCGCUACUAGAUGGGCCCGCGUCGGAUUAGCUUGUUGGUGAGGUAAUGGCUCACCAAGGCUUCGAUCCGUAGCUGGUCUGAGAGGANGAUCAGCCACACUGGGACUGAGACACGGCCCAGACUCCUACGGGAGCAGCAGUAGGGAUAUUGGACAAUGGGCGAAAGCCUGAUCCAGCCAUGCCGCGUGAGUGAAGAAGGCC